GUAGUCUACGCAGUAAACGAUGAGCGCUAGGAAUUGGGAUUCGUCUCGGUUCCGUAGCUAACGCGUUAAGCGCUCCACCUGGGGAGUACGAUCGCAAGAUUAAAACUCAAAGGAAUUGACGGGAACCCGCACAAGCAGUGGAGUAUGUUGUUUAAUUCGAUGCAACGCGAAAAACCUUACCACCUCUUGACAUGGAAGCUAAGCCCUUUUGAAAGAAAGGAUUCGGUUCGGCCGGGCUUCACACAGGUACUGCAUGGUUGUCGUCAGCUCGUGUCGUGAGAUAUUAGGUUAAGUCCUGCAACGAGCGCAACCCCUAUCUAUAUUUACCAACAGGUUUGGCUGGGCACUAUAUAGAGACUAUCAGCGAUAAGCUGGA
rnacentral:rRNA from 1 species